rnacentral:rRNA from 1 species
AACGAACGCUGGCGGCAUGCCUAACACAUGCAAGUCGAACGAGCCCUUCGGGGUUAGUGGCGCACGGGUGCGUAACGCGUGGGAAUCUGCCCUUGGGUUCGGAAUAACAGUGAGAAAUUACUGCUAAUACCGGAUGAUGUCUUCGGACCAAAGAUUUAUCGCCCAAGGAUGAGCCCGCGUAGGAUUAGCUAGUUGGUGGGGUAAUGGCCUACCAAGGCGACGAUCCUUAGCUGGUCUGAGAGGAUGAUCAGCCACACUGGGACUGAGACACGGCCCAGACUCCUACGGGAAGCAGCAGUGGGGAAUAUUGGACAAUGGGCGAAAGCCUGAUCCAGCAAUGCCGCGUCAGUGAUGAAGGCCUUAGGGUUGUAAAGCUCUUUUACCCGGGAUGAUAAUGACAGUACCGGGAGAAUAAGCUCCGGCUAACUCCGUG